rnacentral:rRNA from 1 species
UACAGAGGUCUCAAGCGUUGUUCGGAUUCAUUGGGCGUAAAGAGCUCGUAGGCGGCUCGUUGCGUCGGCUGUGAAAACCCGCAGCUCAACUGUGGGCUUGCAGCCGAUACGGGCGGGCUGGAGUUCGGUAGGGGAGACUGGAAUUCCUGGUGUAGCGGUGAAAUGCGCAGAUAUCAGGAGGAACACCGGUGGCGAAGGCGGGUCUCUGGGCAACAACUGACGCUGAGGAGCGAAAGCGUGGGGAGCGAACAGG